rnacentral:rRNA from 1 species
UACGUAGGCAGCGAGCGUUGUUCGGAAUUACUGGGCGUAAAGGGUGUGUAGGCGGUGCUCUAAGUUCGGUGUGAAAUCUCCCGGCUUAACUGGGAGGGUGCGCCGGAAACUGGAGUGCUUGAGCGCGGGAGAGGAAAGCGGAAUUCCUGGUGUAGCGGUGAAAUGCGUAGAUAUCAGGAGGAACACCUGUGGUGUAGACGGCUUUCUGGACCGUAGCUGACGCUGAGACACGAAAGCGUGGGUAGCAAACAGG